CUUGCGAUGAAAUUGCAAGCAAUUUAUAGCCAUCUUUAAUCUAAAUUAGUUCCAACAUUAGGCAAAGGUCCUUGAUAACCAACUUGAUGCUGAGAAUGGAUGGAUAAGCUAACGAUCCACUUUAGGAUAAUUCCUUCUCGCGUUUCAUUUCCCUUGCAGCUGCUGCGCUCGAUAGUAUUAUGUUCGCCAUUUACGUUAUUCCAGCCAGUGUUAUCAGCUACAGUUGGUCGAACUGCGGCGCGUGUUUCUUCGUCGUGCAUGCAAAAACGUUGGCCAUUUGAGCGGCUAUUAUCGUACCGACGAAAGUUUCAAUAAAAGCUGCCUGAAAGAAAAACCUUUGCUCCGCGACAAGCGACCCAAUUAAGCGUAACUUCUGCCUAAAAUGACAAAAACUACUCGCUCGAAGACAGGUUCAUACUGAAUCCGAUCUUCCGUAUCUGCGACCCUACGUGUAUCAGAAACCCCACGUAAAGGAAGUCGGAUUAAUACGUCGCUCAAAACCUGGCUUAAAUUGUCUUGUUCAGUUUAUCGUUUGCUUAAACUUUCCGUGUGACUGACAACUAACUAGUUCUCUUUAGAGAUGAACAAAAUUUCUCUAUGCCUUUACCCGUUGUUUCGCGUGCUAUUCGCUUAUAAAAGCGAAGUUUACCACUGGAGCUCGAAAGGGAAAAUGUCACCGGCCAUUAUUUCAUGUAAGCUAGCA